UUUAAGGUCUAAUCUGCCCACUGAUUAAUUGAAUGGCCGCAGUAAUUUGACUGUGCAAAGGUAGCAUAAUCAUUAGUUUUUUAAUUAAAAGCUUGUAUGAAUGAUUGGACGAGAUAAAAUCUGUCUCUUAAUUAAAGUUAGAAUUUAAUUUUUAAGUUAAAAAGCUUAAAUUUUUAUAAAAGACGAGAAGACCCUAUAGAUCUUUAUUUAUUUAGAUUGUAAAUUUUAUUUAGAUUUUUUUAUUAUUUAUUUUUUAGUAAAUUUUAUUGGGGUAAUAGGAAGAUUUAAUUAAUUCUUUUUAAAUUUUUACAUUUAUGAGUGAUUUUUUGAUCCAUUAUUAAUGAUUAUAAGAUUAAGUUACCUUAGGGAUAACAGCGUAAUUUUUUUAGAGAGUUCAUAUCGAUAAAAAAGAUUGCGACCUCGAUGUUGGAUUAAAAGUAAUUUUAGGUGCAGAAGUCUAGAGUUUUGGUCUGUUCGACCAUUAAAUUUUU
rnacentral:rRNA from 1 species